rnacentral:rRNA from 1 species
GGGCAGGGUGAGUCGACCCCUAAGGCGAGGCCGAAAGGCGUAGUCGAUGGGAAACAGGUUAAUAUUCCUGUACUUGGUGUUACUGCGAAGGGGGGACGGAGAAGGCUAUGUUGGCCGGGCGACGGUUGUCCCGGUUUAAGCGUGUAGGCUGGUUUUCCAGGCAAAUCCGGAAAAUCAAGGCUGAGGCGUGAUGACGAGGCACUACGGUGCUGAAGCAACAAAUGCCCUGCUUCCAGGAAAAGCCUCUAAGCAUCAGGUAACAUCAAAUCGUACCCCAAACCGACACAGGUGGUCAGGUAGAGAAUACCAAGGCGCUUGAGAGAACUCGGGUGAAGGAACUAGGCAAAAUGGUGCCGUAACUUCGGGAGAAGGCACGCUGAUAUGUAGGUGAAGCGACUUGCUCGUGGAGCUGAAAUCAGUCGAAGAUACCAGCUGGCUGCAACUGUUUAUUAAAAACACAGCACUGUGCAAACACGAAAGUGGACGUAUACGGUGUGACGCCUGCCCGGUGCCGGAAGGUUAAUUGAUGGGGU